GUCACCUCCUCCUCUACGCUAAUUCCAUUCCCUCCGCUCUUCCAUUGCCUGGGUACUCUAAAGCCUCUCUUUAAUCUUUCCCAUGCGAAGGCACUAUCGUAAGGAUUGCUAGGGUUUGCAUCUAUGAAAGCAUUUGGCUUCUCAAAAUUUGGCAUCAGUUUUGAACAAGAGCCGAGGCAUGAUGCAGUGGGCGAAUCAAAUGGAACCUAAGUAAAGUUUGGAAGAAAGUAUUGCUCAUCGAUGCAUUUGGUUUUGAAGAAAUAAUAGGAUCUUCAAUGGUGCCACUGCUAAUACUAGAUUUGCUCAGUUCUUCACUAAACCAUUGAUGUCUGUUGAUACUACGACAAGGAAAAUUAAAGCUGUUGACUGUGGGGAGAAUUUUUUAGCCUCUAAACUGUGCUGGAUGCCAGAAGGACCUAGUGAGGAGGAAACUGUUCUCUGUGAAGUUAGUAGUCAACCAUGCUUGGUGGGAUCAUUGUUUGUAAUAUUCAACCUUUUUUCUAGAACAAUCUUAAUUAAUGUCAUUUUGAGCUUAUUAAUGCUAAAAGAAAUAAUUCUGAUCUUUAAUGCUUGUUCCUAUGUAUUUGAGUACUUUACUGAAGGAUCUUUCUCUGGAGCUAGUUGAAGUGCUUCUCAUCGGCGAUCCUGAUACUGAUAAGUUUGAAUUAUCUCCUGACGUUGCUCUGUGUUUUGAAUUCAAGUUCUUUAUCUUUGUUGCUGUGAUUUAACCAGUGUUCUGCUUACAUGGACGUUUGUGUCGGCUCCAAACGGUCUCGAAGGCUUUGAACAUUUCCCUGGUAAAGUUUGACUUUUUGAGCAGGUCGUUGUGUCUGCUUACAUUUAUAAUUUCAUAUGCAUCGCACAACUUCGAUAGCUUUCGUAAGAAGAGUUCUUUGAAAGCCUAAAAUAAUUUUUUAUUUUUUUCUUAAAAUAUUUUUAUUAAGAUUACCAUGUUUUUGUUGCUCAUUUUUAAUUCUCAUGUUUUAGGCAAAAAAAAAAAAGAAAAUCUCAUGUCUAUUUUUAUACUAUCAAGCAUAUAUUUUACAUCGCAAGAUUCUAUUCUAUUCUCAUCUUUAUUCCUAUUUUCAUUCUAUUAGAUAUCUUUUCGUUCCACCAAAUAUGGUCUUACAACAGGGCCUCACUCAUUUUGCCAAUUUCUAUUUUCUUUGAGAGAGUUUUGUAACGGCCUUUCUGGAUAUUUUAUUGUUAACCCAAAUCUAGCUUCUUCUUGUACUACUUUUCCCCAACUCCCAUGUUUAUUAAUAAAAGUUGAAGACAUUAAAUUUAUCUCAAUUUUAAAACUGGUAACAUUUGAGCCACAAAUUUAAUGUCUCGGUCUAAUUAUUUUAGUAAUUUAUCAAUUAUACUUACGCCAUAACUCAAGUUAAAGAAUUUAUAUUUACACCAACCAUUACUUUGGUGUUAACAUUGGUGCUUUUGAGGAGGCUUUAGACAUGGUGAGCCCACUGUUGUGGUCUCCUUCAUUUCCUAUUUCCUGUGAUAAUUUUCUUUCACAAGAUCUGAUGUUAGGCCAUGGUUUGUCUUCCAAAUUUGCUCAAUUCUUCAUCGAAUCAAUUAGAUCUGCUGAUGUUACCAUGAGGGAAAUGAUUCUAUAUGGCAUAUUGAAAUUUAAUUUAUAUGGUAUGUUGCAUUUUGAUAUUUUAAAGGGAAAAAAGGGUGAUUGGCUUACGGGGCGGAUCUUUUUUUGUGGGAUGGGUCUUGUAAAUAGGAGCCCCCUGUAUAAAAUGGGGCCUAAUGUGUUUCAUAAAAUAGAAAAAAAGGGGGGGUAUAUUUUUUAUUGGAAAGUCAGAGGAGUUAUUUGACAAUCUUUUCCUUUACAUGUGGUUUUCAUCCCUUUACCCCUUUAGGUCCCCUUCCUUUGAAUCUUUGGAUGACAUUAAUCUUGAAUCCUUUCUGGCGUAGCUUUUUCUCUCGUGCAGACAUGAUGCAAUGGGCCAAUCAAAUGGAAUCCAAGCAAAGUUUGGAUGAAUGUAUUCCUCAUCGGUGUAUUUGGCUUUGAAGAAAUAAUGGGAUCUUCAAUGGUGCCAAUACUAGGCACUAGCAGAUCAAGAUAGGAAGCUAUGUCAAAUUAAAGUCCUUGGGACGUAUGGGAUUUAUGUUGGAAAGAAACGAUUUAGAUUUUCUAUCAAAAAGUGAAGGGGAAGUUACUGUUCAUGUUGGAAAUACAGGUUAGAUGACUAAAAUUCACCAUAAUUUUUUAUGUGUAUAGUUUAAGAUAUUUUACUAAGGUUAUCAUGGUCAGUUGCUCAUUUUUGUUUCCCAAUGCUUUCUCUAUUUUUAUUCUACCAGUGCGACUAAUAAAAAACUGUUCUUAUUUCUUUUCCUAUCUUCUAUAUAUAUUUCAAAUUACAAAUCCUAUUCUACUCUCUUUUAUAUUCCCAUCUCCAUUCUAUUAAAAAUCUUUGCAUUCAAUCAACCACGGACGUGAAGAAUACGUACAAUCAUCUAUAAUUGAUUUUCCAUUUUUGACCGAUUGAUUGUAGUUUUAUUUAUCACACCAUGUCAUGCUUCCGUUGUGUUUCAAUUUUAAUUUUGUUUUAGUGAGUUUUGUUUCAAUUUUAAUGCCUGUAGCUGUAAUUAACUUAUUUCCAAUCACCAUUCACCUUCCCACCUGAUUGAUUGAUUCUGCAGUCUUGUUAAUAAUAUCAUCUGCAAAUAGCAUCAGUUGCCUUUGUAGGGUUUGCUGUGAAGGGCGCUGCGAGUAGGCAAUGAAAGGUAGAACUGGAGGUAUUUUUGUCGAUGUAUUUGGCUUUGGAAAUCUUCAUUCUAUAUACCAAACAUGAAAGCAUGGCUUUCAUGUUGUAAAGAUCUGGGAUAUGGCCCGUGUCUUUCCAUAAAAAAUGGAUGAAUAUUUGCUUCUCAGGUUGGAAAUACUAGUAAAAUGACUAAUCCAUCCUAAUUUUUUAAUAUUUAGUUUAAGAUAUUUUCAUUAUUUUUUAUUAAGGUUAUUAUGGUCAGUUGCUCUUUUUAGUUCCCAUUACCUCUCUAUUUUUAUCCUAUCAAUCAAAUAUAUAAUAAAAAAUAUUUUUAUUUCUUUUCUUAUUUACCAAAUAUAUUUUAAAUUGUAAAAUUCUCUCCUAUUCUCGUCUCUAUUCUCAUUUUCGCUCCAUCAAAUGUGAUUUCUAGCCUUUGUGGCCUCGCUUGUUUGAUUGCUGUAUUUUUCGUGAUAUCUUAUCAUAUUAAAUCAUGUGCAUAAAAAAAUUAUAAAUCUUGAAUUCAUCUCAAUUUUAGAAACCAGUAACAAUGCAAAUUUAAUGGCCUAGAAUAUUUGUAUUAGUAAUUUAUGAAUUAUAUUUACAUUUUUUAUAUCAUCCAAUUAUAUUUACAUUUUUUAUCUACAAAAUUAAUGACGGUCUAAAUUUUUAAUUUCUUAAUUUCUUUAAGAAAAGUUGCGUGAAUGCUACUCUAUUCUAGUACUAUUUAAUUGUGAGAUGGUGCUUGGACCAUUAUUCCACUGUCGUCUGAGCAUUGGUUUUACAGCUAUGCGAAGAAACGGCAUCUGUUCUAAUACUACGUCUGAUGCGAGGUCAUCAUCGUCUGACAGUUUGAAGAAAUGGCAGGUUUUGCAGCGAUAGCCUCUUCGUCCCUCGUUUGUACAGUGCUGGGUUUUAUUAUUCAUCAACCUCCUUUCCACUCCUUUUUCUUUCCAUUCUAAUUUUCAAAGUGGUAACUGCUGCAACCUCUUUUGCUGUUUCUGUGACAUGUUUGUUUUGAUGCUUGUAAAUAGUUUCCCCGCUAAUACUGGCAAAGAUGGAAAAUGGCCCAUCUUAAGAUCCAUUUAGAAACUUCAUGCAUCCCAAACGUCGCAAAACCCUUGCUGCGGUUGACAAUGAUCAAUGAACAAUAUAUUCCCAACUAACAAAUCACGAACCUUGAGAGGGCUGAAUUCGUCUGAUCGGCACUGCUUGCGCGUGGUGAAAGUCGAAAGCACGAGUCGCACGCUACAUGACUGCAAUGCAGGGACUCGUGUCGCGGAUGUGAUGCAAUGGGCCAACUAAUGGAAUCUAAGCAAAGAUCAGAGGCUCUGUCGAAUUAAGGCCGAAGCUGUCAAUGGUAGCUUAGACUGGAGACACAAGUGGGAUAUAGUCUCGGCGGCUGCCGUGGGAUAAUCCGAAACCAUAAGGGCAACAUGACGCGGAGGUACCCUCUCCCCCACGCGAACAACAAUCAGAAAAGUUGCAGUUUUGUUCGAGGAUGAAAGAUUAAAUGAUGGAUUUUGAUUGUUCCUGUGCCUGAUAUUUGAGUACUAGAGGAAUUGUGGAGAAUGCAGAGUUGCUGAGUUGGAAGAGAAAUGAAAUGUUGCUGUCCACUUGGCUGCCAGCACGUUUCUCUCUUGGGAUUGAGAGGAAGUGACAGAAGAGAGAAGAGAGGAAAGAAGCGACUACAAAUUGACGAUGGCGGUGGGGAAGGAAGAGGUAGAUAUUUUUAAAGCUCGCUCGGACAAGAGGGAUUACAGAAGGAUCGUUCUUCGAAACUCACUUGAAGUGCUUCUCAUUGCGAUCCCAAUAUCGAUAUGGUUGAAUCUUCUCCCAAUGUUGUUUUCUAUUUUGAAUUCUAGUCUUUUUUAAAUUAUCUGUGUCUGUUAUUUUUCUAGUGUCGACUCCUUCAAUGAUCCAGACAGUCUUGAAGGCCUUGCCCAUUUCUUGGGUAUAGUUUGACUUUUUGAUGCGGUCAUCGGGUUUUGUUAAAUUUUUUAUACUUUGAACGACGUCGAUUGUGGGGGAAGGGUCUUUCCUUUUCGGUUCAAGAUGGGGGAAGUGGUGGGAAAAGGAGGUAAGGAAAAGGAGAGGCACCUUCCCCCCUCCCCACCGCCCACAAAAACGCCGGCAGCGGCUACUACUUUGAUAGCUUUUCAGUUUUGAAUAUUUUUAUUUUGCUUGCUGCGUUGGUAAAAACUCGGUGUUGUUGGAGAGUUGCAUGUUCCAAUAUACUUUAAAAUUAAAAUUACUUUCUGCAUGAAUAAUCAAUAAUUGCCGCCCAGCUAUUGUCAAGUUGACUUUAACAAUAGAUGGCUUCCCACCCAAAGAGAGACAAGAAAUAAGGAGAAUGAUAGACCUAAUCUGGUUAGCAAGAAUUCAAUUUAUAUUUUAACAUAGAUUGCUCACCUUAAGGGCGCUUUAUCUGAGGAUGUGAUGGGAAUGCUACUUAUUUAAAAAAUUAUAACCUGAUGAUCAGUUGAUUUUUGUUGC